rnacentral:snRNA from 1 species
AUAAUUUAUCUUCUAAGUUAUCUGUUCUUUUCAGUUUAAUAUCUGAUAUGUCCUUUAUUUGAGGACUUUAUAUUAAAUUGAUUUUUUCAAACAGGGAGCUGGAAUAGGAGCUUGCUCUGUCCACCCCAGGCAUCGACCUGGUAUUGCAGUGUCUCCGGGAAUGGUGCAUCUCCU